rnacentral:rRNA from 1 species
CCUACGGGAGGCUGCAGUGGGGAAUAUUGGACAAUGGGGGCAACCCUGAUCCAGCCAUGCCGCGUGUGUGAAGAAGGCCCUCGGGUUGUAAAGCACUUUCAGUGAGGAAGAACGCCUGGUGGUUAAUACCCAUCAGGAAAGACAUCACUCACAGAAGAAGCACCGGCUAACUCCGUGCCAGCAGCCGCGGUAAUACGGAGGGUGCGAGCGUUAAUCGGAAUUACUGGGCGUAAAGCGCGCGUAGGUGGCUUGAUAAGCCGGUUGUGAAAGCCCCGGGCUCAACCUGGGAACGGCAUCCGGAACUGUCAAGCUAGAGUGCAGGAGAGGAAGGUAGAAUUCCCGGUGUAGCGGUGAAAUGCGUAGAGAUCGGGAGGAUUACCAGUGGCGAAGGCGGCCUUCUGGACUGACACUGACACUGAGGUGCGAAAGCGUGGGUAGCAAACAGGAUUAGAUACCCGAGUAGUC